rnacentral:lncRNA from 1 species
UUCUGGGACGAAGAAGCCGACUUUGGACUGUUCAACCAAUACAUCCUAUAACACAUAUAAAAUUUCAUCUUUACCAAGUUGAUUUAACCAAAAUAAAUAAUAUUAUUAAAAAAAGAAUCUACUUACAAUCUUUUCAGCCACUUCGCGUGUAGCCUCUGAUGUGAACUCAAUGCCUUUUCUUGACGCGCCCUCUUCCAUUUCUCAUG